rnacentral:rRNA from 1 species
AUUGAACGCUGGCGGCAGGCCUAACACAUGCAAGUCGAGCGGAGCGGCGGACGGGUGAGUAAUGCCUAGGACUCUGCCUGGUAGUGGGGGAUAACGUCCGCAAACGGGCGCUAAUACCGCUUCCUAUCCGAUGAGCCUAGGUCGGAUUGGCUAGUUGGUGGGGUAAUGGCCUACCAAGGCGACGAUCCGUAGCUGGUCUGAGAGGAUGAUCAGCCACACUGGAACUGAGACACGGUCCAGACUCCUACGGGAGGCAGCAGUGGGGAAUAUUGGACAAUGGGCGAAAGCCUGAUGCAGCCAUGCCGCGUGUGUGAAGAAGGCCUUCGGAUUGUAAAGCACUUUAAGUUGGGAGGCGUUACCAGCAGAAGAAGCACCGGCUAACUUCGUGCCAGCAGCCGCGGUAAUUC